AGCGAACGCUGGCGGCAGGCCUAACACAUGCAAGUCGAACGAAGUCUUCGGACUUAGUGGCGGACGGGUGAGUAACACGUGGGAACGUGCGUUUAGGUUCGGAAUAACUCAGGGAAACUUGUGCUAAUACCGAAUGUGCCCUUCGGGGGAAAGAUUUAUCGCCUUUAGAGCGGCCCGCGUCUGCUUAGCUAGUUGGUGAGGUAAAGGCUCACCACGGCGACGAUCAGUAGCUGGUCUGAGAGGAUGAUCAGCCACAUUGGGACUGAGACACGGCCCAAACUCCUACGGGAGGCAGCAGUGGGGAAUCUUGCGCAAUGGGCGAAAGCCUGACGCAGCCAUGCCGCGUGAAUGAUGAAGGUCUUAGGAUUGUAAAAUUCUUUCACCGGGGACGAUAAUGACGGUACCCGGAGAAGAAGCCCCGGCUAACUUCGUGCCAGCCGCCGCAGUAAAAC
rnacentral:rRNA from 1 species